AGUGAACGCUGGCGGUAGGCCUAACACAUGCAAGUCGAACGGCAGCACAGUAAGAGCUUGCUCUUACGGGUGGCGAGUGGCGGACGGGUGAGGAAUACAUCGGAAUCUACUUUUUCGUGGGGGAUAACGUAGGGAAACUUACGCUAAUACCGCAUACGACCUACGGGUGAAAGCAGGGGAUCUUCGGACCUUGCGCGAUUGAAUGAGCCGAUGUCGGAUUAGCUAGUUGGCGGGGUAAAGGCCCACCAAGGCGACGAUCCGUAGCUGGUCUGAGAGGAUGAUCAGCCACACUGGAACUGAGACGCGGUCCAGACUCCUACGGGAGGCAGCAGUGGGGAAUAUUGGACAAUGGGCGCAAGCCUGAUCCAGCAAUACCGCGUGGGUGAAGAAGGCCUUCGGGUUGUAAAGCCCUUUUGUUGGGAAAGAAAAGCAGCAGGUUAAUACCCCGCUGUUCUGACGGUACCCAAAGAAUAAGCACCGGCUAACUUCGUG
rnacentral:rRNA from 1 species